rnacentral:tRNA from 2 species
GGAAGGGUGGCCGAAUGGUAAGGCAGUAGUCUUGAAAACUACCGCGCUCACGCGCUUGCAGGUUCGAGUCCUGUCCCUUCCGCCA